rnacentral:lncRNA from 1 species
UGUUGAAGACCAACAUAACAUAUUGUGAAGGUGGUGGCGCUUGUAGUGGAGUGGUGGUGGAGUAAUGGAACUUGUGGUGUAGUAGUGGUAGUGGUCGUGGAGGGUAGGCAGGGGAGUGGUGAUAGUAGAGUGGUGGCGGUGGUGAAGUGGAUGGUGAUGGUGGGCAGGCGGUGGUGGCGGGGUAGUGGUGGUGGUGGUGACAUGGUGGUGUGAUGGUGGAGGUGGUGGUGGUAGGUGGUGGUUGAGUGGUUGUGGUGGAGCGGUGAAACUCGUGGUCAUGGGAGAGCAAUGGUGGUGGCGGUGGCAGGUAGGCAAUGGAGUAGUGAUAGCAGACUGUCAAAGUCGGUGCAGUGGUGGUGGUGGUGGUGGCGGGCAGGCAGUGAUGGUGGUAGAGUGGUGGUGGUAGUAGUGCAGUAGUGGAGGUGGUCUUAUGGUGGUCGUAGUGGUGAAAUGGUGGUGGUGGUGAUGGCGGUGGAAAUGGUAGAGUGGUGGUGGUAGUAGUGCAGUAGUGGAGGUGGUCUUAUGGUGGUCGUAGUGGUGAAAUGGUGGUGGUGGUGGUGGUGAUGGCGGUGGAAAUGGUGGAGUGGUGGUGGGUGGUGGCAGUGGCAACUAGCCGGGUGGUGGUGGUGGUAGAGUGGUGAUGUUGGUGGAGAGGUGGUGGUAAUGGUGAUAUUGAUGGUGGUGGGGAGAGUGAGUAUUUGAAUUUUUUGCAAAAUAACUUGGAGUUGUUUUGCAAAAAAGUUCAAUAAGGGGGUCCCAAUUGCAGCUGGAAAACAAUUCAUAUUUGUGAAUCAAACCUUCUUUGAGGUCAAACUGCUGGUGGGAAUUUUCAUAUAGGCCCAAAUUGAAAUUUGGCUAGGAAAUCAAAUGGUGCUUAAAAAAUCAUUAACAUGAGGAAAUAAGGAUGGUUCUGAGUAAGACAUGGCUGGAUAUAAACUAUAGCAGGUCUAGGGUCAUGAGAGAUUAC